rnacentral:rRNA from 1 species
CUACGGGAGGCUGCAGUGGGGAAUCUUGGACAAUGGGCGCAAGCCUGAUCCAGCCAUGCCGCGUGAGUGAAGAAGGCCUUAGGGUCGUAAAGCUCUUUCGCCAGAGAUGAUAAUGACAGUAUCUGGUAAAGAAACCCCGGCUAACUCCGUGCCAGCAGCUGCGGUAAUACGGAGGGGGUUAGCGUUGUUCGGAAUUACUGGGCGUAAAGCGCGCGUAGGCGGAUUAGUCAGUCAGAGGUGAAAUCCCAGGGCUCAACCCUGGAACUGCCUUUGAUACUGCUAGUCUUGAGUUCGAGAGAGGUGAGUGGAAUUCCGAGUGUAGAGGUGAAAUUCGUAGAUAUUCGGAGGAACACCAGUGGCGAAGGCGGCUCACUGGCUCGAUACUGACGCUGAGGUGCGAAAGCGUGGGGAGCAAACAGGAUUAGAUACCCUCGUAGUC